rnacentral:rRNA from 1 species
AACGAACGCUGGCGGCGCGCUUAACACAUGCAAGUCGAACGAGAAGGCGUAGCAAUACGCUUGUAAAGUGGCGAACGGGUGAGGAAUACAUGGGGUAACCUACCCUCGAGUGGGGGAUAACCCGCCGAAAGGCGGGCUAAUACCGGCGUACGCUUCCGAUCUUGCGGGAUCGGAAGGAAAGCUGUCCCAAGGGGAUGGCGCUCAAGGAUGGGCUCAUGUCCCUAUCAGCUUGUUGGUAGGGUAACGGCCACCAAGGCAUCGACGGGUAGCUGGUCUGAGAGGACGAUCAGCCACACUGGCACUGCGACACGGGCCAGACU